GGAUAGUUCAGCUGGUUAGAGCGUGGUACUGCCAACACCAAGGUUACAGGUUCAAUCCCCGUAUGGGACA